rnacentral:rRNA from 1 species
GUGCCAGCAGCCGCGGUAAUACCGGCAGCACGAGUGAUGGCCGAUAUUAUUGGGCCUAAAGCGUCCGUAGCUGGCCGGACAAGUCCGUUGGGAAAUCCACCCGCUUAACGGGUGGGCGUCCAGCGGAAACUGUCCGGCUUGGAGCCGGAAGACCUGAGGGGUACGUCCGGGGUAGGAGUGAAAUCCCGUAAUCCUGGACGGACCGCCGGUGGCGAAAGCGCCUCGGAAGGACGGACCCGACGGUGAGGGACGAAAGCUGAGAUCUCGAACCGGAUUAGAAACCCCGGUAGUCC